GCCCAGGCUGGAGUGCAGUGGCGUGAUCUUAGCUCACUGUAACCUCUGCCUCCCCGGUUCAAGCGAUUCUUUUGCCUCAGCCGCCUCAGCAGCUGGGACUACAGGUGCAUGCCACUGUGCCUGGCUAAUUUUUUGUAUUUUUAGUAGAGACGGUUUCAUCAGGUUGGCCAGGCUGGUCUCAAACUCCUCGCCUCAAGUGAUCCACCCGCCUCUCAAAGUGCUGGGAUUACAGGCAUGAGACAGCACCUAGCCAGAAGAAUUUGACCCAGGGGGCAUAUGGUGGAAGGAAAGCCCAAGGCAACACCUGGGCCUCAGGACUGCGUGAUGGGUGCCCCGUGAAAUCUAAUUCCACUGUGAACUAUGCUGACAUCCAUCAAGGCCUUUACCUCCUACCUCUUGGUUUGAAAUGGGUCUCCAAGACUUCCACCAUCCACAACUGAUCCAGAAAUGGCUCUGGCAGUACCCAAGGGUUCCUUGAAGGCAGGUCUGGGUCUGGUUCUCCGGAUCCCAACACCACGAGCUGUAAUCCCAUCGUCACUUCCUCUGGCAACACGGGGACUGCCUGCCAUGCCCUAACUCCUCCUUGUGCUUUUGGCCUUCGCCUAAGAGUUCCUUGGAGUUUCUUCACAGCAUCUGUAGCCAUCUGAAGUGUCAUCUUCUGUACUAUAUUGCCAGUGCCUACAAUUACGACUGGUAUACUCAACCAGGACCCAUGGACCUGGCAUGGCAGGUGUGCGGAAACAGCAGGACACGCUGACAUUACAGAAGACGAUGCACACCCAUGCACGGGGCACAGAAACACCUUCAAGACACAGGCGGCAGUGGUCUUGUACAAUCUCUCUCUGUAUUCUCAAGUCCCCAUCUGCGAGCAUGGCUACUGGAAAUAACUGCAGCUGUAUACUGACUUAAAGAUCCAAAAAUCCCAGGAAGGACCCCAGAGCUGUGAGCCAGAAGCCCAAGGCCCUCCCAGCCUGAAAGCCCCAGGCCAAGCCUGAACUAUAUGCAGUCAUCCCCAUGAGAAUAUAAACUCCAUGAGGGCAGCAACUUGGCUGGCCUGUGUGCCAGUGCUGGGGACAUCACUGAGAAAUGAAGGCCCAUUUGGCAGGCUAUUUUUGAGCAAGAUUCCUGAGGCCCAAUCGUUGGGUGAUGAGAUGGACCCGAGGUAUUUCACUCCAGCUCUCGAGCCAAAAGAACUGACCACGUCCUCACCACUGCUCUGCGCCAGAUUUCAUCCAAGCAAAGAGAGGAUCACAUGGAGAUGAAAACACCCCACUUCCUUCAUCUGGAUGACACCUUGUUUAGAAGCCCAUCACUCGGCCAGAGAAGAAAUAUUUAGAUUGAGAAACAGCUUUUUGUUGUGCCCUAAGCCCAUUCUACCUUUAUGAUUCAACUAAAAAUUUAUUUCCACUUAAAUAAAACCAGCAAUUCUGAGCUUCCCCUCCCGUCACAGGUUUCCUCCCAGAAAGUCUAUCAUGAAAAUACUGCUCAAAAAUCAUCUGUAAAAAGGUAAAUUAACACAUAUUCUUGGCUCCCUCUUCCUUAUCUCAGCUAUUCAGCCUCUACACUUUUUCAACUAUUUUAUCACCUUUUUUAAAUAGGCAACACAGGAGUGUAGAAUAAGAGCAUGAGGGGGGUGAAUACAUGAAAAAGUGAGUCUUCCCACCUUGGUCCUCCACUAAGUGACGGUUACUUUUUAAUGUGUCUUUCUACAGGUAUACAUUACACAUAGAAGCACGUAUGUAUGCACCGGUGGAAGUAUAUAUCCUCAUAUUUGGUGUUUGGUUUUUUUUUUUUUUUUGUAGAUUGAGACUGUGUCUCCCAGACUGGAAUGUAAUGACACAAUGUCAGCUCACUCCAACCUCCACCUCCCGGGUUUAAGUGAUUCUCCUGCCUCAGCCUCCCAAGUAGGUGGGAGUACAGGCGUGCACCACCAUGCCUGGCUAAUUUUUGGAUUUUUAGUAGAGAUGGGUUUUCCUCUUGUUGGCUAGGCUGGUCUCACACUCGACCUCAGGUGACCCAACCACCUUGGCCUCCCACAGUACUGGGAUUACAGGUAUAAGCCUCUGUGUCUGGCCCAUAUUUGCUAUUUCUAAAAUUAGAAAGGUAUUGUGUGGUACUCUUCCAUGCUUUAUCCUCUUAGUAAUAAUGUCAUGGAGAUUUUUUCCAUAUCACUACAUGCGGUAUGGAAGGUAUUCCCUUUACAUGUGAGUGUACAUCAGCCUCAGUAUUCUAGCCCAUAGGUUGGCAAACUUCCUAUAAAGGGUGAGACUAAACAUACUAGGCUCCAGGGAGGCAUUCCAUCUCAGUUACAACUCAACUUUGCCCUUAUAAUAAGAAGCUAUACAUGAAGUGUGAAUGACUGGGCAUGUUCCAAUAAAACUUUACUUAUAAAAAACAGGUGGAGGGUAAGAUUUGGCCUGUGGGCCAUCAUUUUCUGAUCUCUGUUCUAGUCUGAACCAUCUUUGGCUGUUUCACCACAGUCAUGCGGCCAAGGAGGCAAGGCCUGGCCACACAGGGCACAGAAGCCAUGAUGGGCCUUGUCUGCAAGUAGAAAUCACCUGCUAAUCACCAACAGGUCUCAAAGUAAAUGCUGGAACACACUUUGUAGGGUGACUCUCCUGGCCCCAAGCAGCAUCUGCGACAUCAAGAUGCCGGGCCUUGGGACUGCCUCAAGCUGGUUUCGGCAGCUAUGCUCUUUACAGAGCGUGUGGAGGGCAAGGACUCUGGAGUAGAAAAAGGUGCAGGUCUUAGGGCUGGGGUCCCAGGGUGGAAGCCCACUCCAUGCCUUACUGGCUAUUUGAGAUAGAGGAUGAAAAAUGGCAUGAACAUCUUUGUAUGUGUGAGGAUCUUCCUGUUGCCCACGCUGGAGUUCAAUGGUGCAAUCUUAGGUCACUGCAACCUCCACCUCCCAGGUUCAAGAGAUUCUCCUGCCUCAGCCUUCUGAGUAGCUGGGACUACAGGUGCACACCACCACCCAUGGCUAAUUUUUGUAUUUUUGGUAGACAUGGGGUUUUGUCAUAUUGACCAGGCUGGUUUCCAACUUCUGACCCUGAGUGAUCUACCACCUCAGCCUCCCAAAGUGCUGGGAUUACAGGGAUGAGCCACCAUGGCUGGCAGACACAAGCAUCGUGAGGGGUGCCUAGCCCCUGCAGACACUCCAUGAACAGCAAAUGUGAUAACUGCUAAAUCAAAACUACCCCAGAAUUUUCCAUCUGCUAUGUCCCCAAGAAAUGACACUGUAACAGGGAGCCGAACACUAUGAUGCCUGCCCAGCUGCAAGAGUGGACUCACCUAAGAUACUCCACAAGCUUUUUAUGCUGUUACAACGGACCCAAAGCACGGGAGAGCAGGGGCCUCACUUGUGCUGUUGCUUGAGAGUUCCCUAAAUGCCAGGCCAUAGCAGGUACUGAAGAAUACCUACAGCCCGAGUGAGUGCUGCUAUGUGUAGGGUUCAGGCCAAGGGCCCUGGCUGCAGAGCAGAGGAACUGAGAGCUAGACAGGGCUGGGCCUGCCAUAGGAAAACAACAGCCCAGCUAUGACCCAGCACUGUGGUGGCUGGGGGAUGAGAGAUGAGCUCAGCACAGAAAACACCUUGGAGCCCUGGAUGUACCCCUCCUACACCAGUACAAUGCCCUGCAGUGCUCUGGGCUUUAAACUUCACUUCUUGCUGAGUUGACACCAAAUGAGGCCCCUGAAGAGCCUCUUCUGCUGUGGGGCUUGGACAGAGUACCCGGGCCUGGAGUGGGACUUACAGGGAAGCCAGCAUCAUAGAAAAUCCCUAGAGGGAAUUCCCAGAAGGCUGCACCCUCAAAGCAUCUGGUCCAGACAAGACAACCCUGACUAGUCAUCCUGAAAGCCCGGUGCUGUCCAAAAGACACAGAUGCCAUGGUACAGGGAUGUGGCACAGUGGGGAGCCAGAGGUAGGUUACAAAGGAGACCUUAGAAGGUGUGGGACUCCCUUCCAUGUGGGUGCAGAGUGCCCACUGUCAUUCCCCAUGGAGGCACCAAGCCAGGAGAGUAGGGCUCCAGGGACAGUAGCUUCCAGCCUUCCCAGUCAGGUCCACAUCUGGUGAGCCAGAAGGAAGGAAAUGUAACCUAACACUGUGGCAGGAUCCAGCGUGGCCUUGUGGGAGGCGCUGUGGGAUGAGCAAGAGAGCAAAUGUGUGUGGCCAAGAUGAAGAAUGAACAGGGAUAGAAAAUUCCUACUUGUCCCAAGAAAUAGACCUCAAUGUCCCUUAGCAACAUCUUUUUAUGUCAUGCCUGACCGUGUGUGUGCCAGGGGUGGUGCUUGCCUUACCAAUAUGAGCAGUGCAAAAGUCCAGGAUGCCACGUUCACUCGAGACCCCUGUGCCAUGCUGUCUCCCAAAAGACUGAGCACCUUGAGGGCAGACUGGGAAUUGAGGUAUCCCUGAACCCCUAAGAGCAGCUCCUAUACAGCCCUAGAACUGCUGCUGAAGGAAGUGGCUCAUUUUGCUAAACUCCAGUUUGGAAUCUGGGGCUCAGUAAGGCUGUCCCUGCAGAGCAUUCUUGAGCCCAUUCUGUUCGGUAGCCAGGCAAGUGUGAGCAGCUGCAGCUUCACAGGAGGAGGCUUAGAGGGGCAGUGAUGGGUGCCAUGCUAUGCAGAUCCCAGACAGGAACGCGGGGGCCAGGUUUUAUUACAGGAGAUGGUGCUUGGGGUGGGAAUCAUAUCUCCAUCCCAUGGGACAGCUUAGUGGUGCUGAGGCUGACUUCGUGGGGGUGUAUUUAAUCCUCGUGAGGGAGGGGGAUGUUAACCACAGCUCAGGACUCUGUUCUUCCAGUUCCUCUUUCUCUCACACCCACAUUGAAACCAGCAAGUUCUGGUAGUUCUACUUUGAGAAUACCCCUUCCCAGGCUGCCUGAGGCACCAUCCCCUCUCCCCGGGGUGCCCACAUGGUCCCCUAACUACCUGUUCUAUCACCCAUAACAAAGCUCUACCCUUUGCUGACUCCACAUGGCAGCUAGAGUUCCCUUGGCUGCAAGGCCUCUCUGUUCCUGGGCUACCCUGGCUUCCUUGCUGUUUCUCCCAGGGGCCAACUCUUCAAGGCUGCAGGACCUUUGCACCUGCUGUGUCCACUGCCUGGCUCCCUGCCUCAGGUCUCCACUUCGGGUCAAACUAUCCCUGUCAUCUUCCUAGACCAUAAACAGCACAUCCCCAGCAGGCUUCUUUCCCUCUGUGAUGACUGUGAUGUCAUUUCCUGUCUUUUCACUGGAAAUCGCCACCUCACAUAGGCAUGUCUGCCUCACUAUUCAAUGUCUGUGUCCCCCAUGAAAACAGAUGCUUUAUCUGCUGUUGAACUAUCAGGAUCUGAAAUGGUGCACUGGCUUCCAGCUGCACUCCUAGCCCUGGAAAAACCAAACCAGCCUGAUCUUACUGGUGACUGUAUAAUCUUAAUCCCUUUAUUUUCAUAUAUUUUGAAAGCAAUCCUAAUUGUCUGUAUUUAAAAUUUCCUUUGUUGCAUGGAAGGUAGCUGUUUAAAUGUCUAAUUUUCUCCUAUCUUCUUAGUUUUCUAGUCAAAAUAAUAGCUUUAAUCACAGUGGGUCUAGAUGGAUUCAAAAAGGAAGAUUUAUCCACUCUUCUUGGUAAUUGUUU
rnacentral:lncRNA from 10 species